rnacentral:piRNA from 1 species
UCCGUAUCUAAAGAUCCAUGUGGUGUGU